CGGAGGAAGGUGGGGAUGACGUCAAAUCAUCAUGCCCUUAUGACCUGGGCUCAACACGUGCUACAAUGGCUGGUACAACGAGUCGCAGCCGGUGACGGCAAGCUAAUCUCUGAAAGCCAGUCUCAGUUCGGAUUGUAGGCUGCAACUCGCCUACAUGAAGUCGGAAUCGCUAGUAAUCGCGGAUCAGCACGCCGCGGUGAAUACGUUCCCGGGCCUUGUACACCACCGCCCGUCACACCACGAGAGUUUGUAACACCCGAAGUCGGUGAGGUAACCGUAAGGAGCCAGCCGCCUAAGGUGGGAUAGAUGAUUGGGGUGAAGUCGUAACAAGGUAGCCGUAUCGGAAGGUGCGGCUGGAUCACCUCCUUUCUAAGGAG
rnacentral:rRNA from 1 species